UACGGAGGGUGCGAGCGUUGUCCGGAAUCAUUGGGCGUAAAGGGCGCGUAGGUGGCCACUUCAAGCGUGCGGUGAAAGUCGGGGGCUCAACCCCUGAUCGGCCGUGCGAACUGGGGGGCUGGAGCACUGUAGAGGCAGGCGGAAUUCCGGGUGUAGCGGUGGAAUGCGUAGAGAUCCGGAAGAACACCGGUGGCGAAGGCGGCGACCUGGUCCAUUACUGACGCUGAGGCGCGAAAGCGUGGGGAGCAAACAGG
rnacentral:rRNA from 1 species